rnacentral:rRNA from 1 species
UAACACAUGCAAGUCGAGCGGAUGACGGGAGCUUGCUCCUUGAUUCAGCGGCGGACGGGUGAGUAAUGCCUAGGAAUCUGCCUGGUAGUGGGGGACAACGUUUCGAAAGGAACGCUAAUACCGCAUACGUCCUACGGGAGAAAGCAGGGGACCUUCGGGCCUUGCGCUAUCAGAUGAGCCUAGGUCGGAUUAGCUAGUUGGUGGGGUAAUGGCUCACCAAGGCGACGAUCCGUAACUGGUCUGAGAGGAUGAUCAGUCACACUGGAACUGAGACACGGUCCAGACUCCUACGGGAGGCAGCAGUGGGGAAUAUUGGACAAUGGGCGAAAGCCUGAUCCACCCAUGCCGCGUGUGUGAAGAAGGUCUUCGGAUUGUAAAGCACUUUAAGUUGGGAGGAAGGGCAGUAAGCUAAUACCUUGCUG